ensembl:lncRNA
ACUUCAUGACACACUGCCUGGCAGGGCUAGGAGUAAGGUCCCAGGAGGACCAUUCUGGGCCUUUAGCAUCUGCUUCAUGGAACUUCAUCACUGUCCAAAUUACAUCUAACAGCUUAUAGUCACCAAGUUCACUGAUGGAGGAAGCACAGUUAUUGAGUAAACAGAAGUGUUACAGGAAGUACAUAUUUACCAGGAGGAUCAGAAAAAACUAUUGUGAAGAUGCAUUUGAGUGGGAAAUAACAGCAUGUACAAUGAUGAGAAAGAAUGCUGAAUGAUCCAGAAGUUCAAAUAAGGCCAAAUGUGGAGAACAGCAAGGGGUGAGUGGCAAGAGAUGAUGCUGGAGGUUGACCAGGAGGUUGACUGUCGAGCCUUGUAGGAUUUGUCAGGGGUAUGAACUUUAUCCCAAGUGAAAUGCAAAAAACAUUUAAGAGUUGAUUUGAAGUUAAAGAUAGACAUGAUCACGGUUACAUCUUUUGGCUGGAAAAUAGAGAAUGGAUUAUAGAGAGUAACAACCGAUGGCGGAGGUCAACCAGAAAACUUUUGCCAUAUGUCAGCCAGGAGAUAAGAUUCACUUCAGUUAGUGUGACGAAGGAAAGAUGGAUAUGAAUGGCUGGCUUCAGGAACUAGAGAUGAUUGUUUGGAUAGUGUUAGGCAGGAGAGCAAGACAGUUUCUGGAAAAUGGAAGGGAAGGAAAUGAUGAGAUCAGUGUGGGAUAUUUGCUUUGAACUGCUUCUGAAACAUACAAAUGGAGAAGUUAAGUAGACUGUUGGAAAUAUCAAUGUGGAGCUCAAUUUGCGAUUUAUCAGCCUAGCUACAAUUGAAGGUAUGGGGGUAGACUGAAGAGUAUGGAUCAACAGGAUAGAAG